rnacentral:rRNA from 1 species
UACGAAGGGGACUAGCGUUGUUCGGAAUCACUGGGCGUAAAGCGCACGUAGGCGGAUAUGUCAGUCAGGGGUGAAAUCCCGGGGCUCAACCUCGGAACUGCCCUUGAUACAGCAUAUCUUGAGUCCGAUAGAGGUGGGUGGAAUUCCUAGUGUAGAGGUGAAAUUCGUAGAUAUUAGGAAGAACACCGGUGGCGAAGGCGGCCCACUGGAUCGGUACUGACGCUGAGGUGCGAAAGCGUGGGGAGCAAACAGG